ACAAAUUUUCACAAACUUAGUGACUUAAAACAAUACCUAUUCAUUUUUUGUUUCCAUAGGUUAGGAUUCCAAGUACAUGCUUGUGUUCAAGAGACUGUCUACACUUCCCUGCCACGAAGCCCUUUCUGUUAGCAUUUUCACAACCUCUCUAUUUUCUUUUUAAAGAAAGAAAGAGAGAACGAGAAAGAAGAGAUUUUCCUACACUGAGCAUAUUUUGCUUUUUUGCCAUCAGUUGUGAUCACAUGCUCAUUCGGAUGGGCAUUUCCUGGAGAGCUACAUGUACAUGUGGAAUAAGGAGGGGGAACUGUAAUCCCUGGUAUAUUAAUGAACUUCAACUGAUACAAGCUUCUUGGAGUGGGGAUCAUGGCUGUGUCAGAAGCUAUCAGUAAGCAAUCCUUAUGUUCUUCAUUUACAACUGUAGUAAUAAGAUCCAUGUGUCAAGCA
rnacentral:lncRNA from 13 species